rnacentral:rRNA from 1 species
UCCAACGUUAAUCGGGGCAGGGUGAGUCGACCCCUAAGGCGAGGCCGAAAGGCGUAGUCGAUGGGAAACAGGUUAAUAUUCCUGUACUUGGUGUUACUGCGAAGGGGGGACGGAGAAGGCUAUGUUGGCCGGGCGACGGUUGUCCCGGUUUAAGCGUGUAGGCUGGUUUUCCAGGCAAAUCCGGAAAAUCAAGGCUGAGGCGUGAUGACGAGGCACUACGGUGCUGAAGCAACAAAUGCCCUGCUUCCAGGAAAAGCCUCUAAGCAUCAGGUAACAUCAAAUCGUACCCCAAACCGACACAGGUGGUCAGGUAGAGAAUACCAAGGCGCUUGAGAGAACUCGGGUGAAGGAACUAGGCAAAAUGGUGCCGUAACU